GGCUGGGCCUUUGUCUCUCGCUCCCACCAGAGCUUGGAAUCCGUCUCUUCUCUAAUGCGUUCUCCACCUCGGGAGCCCCUGGUGAUUCCGUGACGGCCUCUGUUGCCCUGUGAUCUGCAGGUCCGGAGAGACGCACAGCUAAGAUGUCAGGACAUCCUGGAAGCUGGGAAAGGGUCUUGCCAUCUCUAAGCUGGACCUGGUGACCUUUCUGGAGGGAAAGAAAGAGCCCUGGACUGUGAAGAGUGAGGAGGCCAUAGCUGCACAGCCAGAGAUGAGGUUCCAUCAUGUUUUCCAGGCUGAUCUCAAACUGCCACGGUCAAGCAAUCUGCUGGCCUCGGCCUCUCAAGUCCAGAUGUAUAAUCUCAUCCCUGAACAUUUCUGAUGGUGUGAUUAUGACAUGUGACUUUAUCCGGCAACAGAGUGAGUUGAUGCUCCCGCCUGAGCCCAGCCCACAGAAAGGAUUGUGACAUAUCGUUGGACCCAGAAUUGAGAAGGCAUUGAGACAUACGGCUGGGCUCAGCACUAAGAAGAUGUGAGUCCUCUGCCUGAAGCCUGACCACAGGGAGCACUGUGACAUAUUUCUUGACCCAUUACAAUCUCUCCUAUGGGCAAAACUGAGAUGGAGUUUUGCUCUUUUUGCCCAGGCUGGAGUGCAAUGGUGCAGUCUCAGCUCACCAAAACCUUCAUCUCAGUUCAAGCAAUUCUUCUGCCUCAGCCCCCCGAGUAUCUGGGAUCACAGGUGGAAUUGUGACAUAUAACUUGGCCAAGCACACAGAUGUAAUGGUGUGGUGACUCUCAUACCUAGAACUGGGACCUGUGCGGGAUUGUUAAUUCAUUACUGGACAUUCCUGUGGGUGUGAUUGUUACAUAUGCCUAUGUUCAGCACCCGAGUGAUUUGAUUUUGCUGCCUGGUCUCAGUCCAAAGGUAAGAUUGUGAUUUAUUGCUGAAUCCAGCACCUUGGUGAUUUGACUGUCCUCUUUUUUUGUGGGAGGGAUCCUGCAAAUUUUGGGUAUUGUCAAUUAUUGCUGAAUCCUGCACCCAUGUUUAUGUGACUCUCCCAAAUGUGCCUUACAUGUUGUGGCACAAUAUAUCACAUUAGACAUUGUUAAAUAUUGUUGGGUUCAUCACCUGGGUGAUGGAUGUAACUUUUUUUCUGGGCCUGCCUACAGGGGACCUUGUGACAUAACUCAAUGCCCAUCACCAUGGUAAUGUUACUCUCUUCUCCUGCCUGGUCUCUGCUCACAGAGAAAUUGUGACAGAUCACUGGCCUAGCAUCUAGGUGAUGUGACUCUCCUCUUUUUUUCAGGCUCUGCAUAUUUGGGUAUUGUGACAUAUUGCAGAACUCAACACCUAAGGGAUGGGAGUCUCCUACCUAGGCCCUUCCUACAGGGGGCAUUGUGACAUGUCUCUGCAUUCCUCAUCCAGGAGAUAUGACUCUCCUUUUCUGCCUACACCCUGCCUACACAGAAAGUUGUGGCAUAUUGCUGUGGUCAGCGACCAGAUGAUAUGUUUCUCCUGCCUGGGUCUUUAUUACAGGAAAGAUGGUUGACAUAUUACUGGGCCCAGCAUCCAGAUGAUGUGACUCUCUUCUUCUGUUGGUCCCUGCUUACAGGGAAACUGUAGCAUAUUGCUACACCCAGCACCUAGCUUGUGUGAUUCUUCUUUUAGGUUUGCCUUCAGGGAACAUUGUGACAUAUUGCUGGGCCCUGCAGUGACAAUUUGUGACUCUUCUGCCUGUGAUUUGCCCACUUGGGGCAUUGUGACAUAUUGCUGGGUUUAACACUCAGGUGAUGUAACUUUUAUGCCUAGGCCUUGCUUACAGGAGGCAUUUUGAAAUGUCUUUGUGGCUGGGCACGGUGGCUCAUGUCUGUAAUCCCAGCGCUUUGGGAGGCCAAGGUGGGCAGAUCACAAAGUCGGGAGUUCGAGACCAGCCUGGUCAACAUGGUGAAAACCCGUCUCUACUAAA
rnacentral:lncRNA from 1 species